UCCGUAGGUGGCAAGCGUUGUCCGGAAUUACUGGGUGUAAAGGGAGCGUAGGCGGGGUGACAAGUCAGAAGUGAAAAUUAUGGGCUCAACUCAUAACCUGCUUUUGAAACUGUCGCUCUUGAGUGAAGUAGAGGCAAGCGGAAUUCCUAGUGUAGCGGUGAAAUGCGUAGAUAUUAGGAGGAACACCAGUGGCGAAGGCGGCUUGCUGGGCUUUUACUGACGCUGAGGCUCGAAAGCGUGGGGAGCAAACAGG
rnacentral:rRNA from 1 species